UCCAGCUGCAGGCUUGGGCGUUUCCGUCAUGACACAAAAACGCCCAUCGGGCGUUCCCGUCAUGACACAAAAACGCCCAUCGGGCGUUCCCGUCAUGACACAAAAACGCCCAUCAGGCGUUCCUGUAGCGUUUCAUCGAUCAAUCAAGAAGAGUACCCUGGCACAUGCUUUGUCCAAUGGACCAGGGAAGGGACUUUACUUCGCUGACGAGUACGCAAUGUAUUCUACCCUCCAAAAGCUAUAUGAUUUCAGUGAGGGGGACAUGCUCUCUAUCAGGAGUUGGUGGUUGGACUGCUGUUGGAGACCUUUAUACUUGAAAGCCCUGCAGAACUAGCUGGCUCCUUCUCACCCUCUCCAUCUCCCCAUCUCAGUCACACCUUCCAAUCACUAAGCAGUGAAAGGUAUUACAUACUAUGUCCAUACUUUUCUAUUUACGUAUAUUCUCUCUUGCUCUUUCUCAGACUUUUGAUCGAUCAGUGAUUGCCUUUUUGUUUAAUGGUGUGGGUAGUGUUGGUCUGGGCUUGUGUGAUUGAAUUGAAGGUUGAUUAUAAUCCCUGUUUCUCUCCCUCUCUCUCGCUCUCCUUCACUCUUUUUCGGCUCUCUCGCUCUCUCUAGCCCUGCAGGACUAGCUGGCACACCAAGCUCACCCUCUCCAUCUCCCCAUCUCAGCCACACACUCCAAUCUGGCACAACAGAGGACAGGCCAUUCUUACCACCCGAAGUCCUUCAGCAAAUUGUACAAGAGACGCUGAGACUGGACAUGGCGAUGCUUGGCGUGUUCAACAGGGUUUCAAACACAUUCCGAGAACUAAUCAAGCCUCUCCACCCUUCCAUAUAUAUAAAUGACAGUUUGGCAGGGGAC
rnacentral:lncRNA from 1 species